rnacentral:tRNA from 1 species
AUAGUGUAGCGGUUAUCAUGUCUGCUUUACAUGCAGAAGGUCCUGGGUUUGAGCCCCAGU